UAGGGAAUCUUCCACAAUGGGCGAAAGCCUGAUGGAGCAACGCCGCGUGUGUGAUGAAGGCUUUAGGGUCGUAAAGCACUGUUGUAUGGGAAGAAAUGCUAGAAUAGGGAAUGAUUCUAGUUCGACGGUACCAUACCAGAAAGGGACGGCUAAAUACGUGCCAGCAGCCGCGGUAAUACGUAUGUCCCGAGCGUUAUCCGGAUUUAUUGGGCGUAAAGCGAGUGCAGACGGUUGAUUAAGUCUGAUGUGAAAGCCCGGAGCUCAACUCCGGAAUGGCAUUGGAAACUGGUUAACUUGAGUGUUGUAGAGGUAAGUGGAACUCCAUGUGUAGCGGUGGAAUGCGUAGAUAUAUGGAAGAACACCAGUGGCGAAGGCGGCUUACUGGACAACAACUGACGUUGAGGCUCGAAAGUGUGGGUAGCAAACAGGAUUAGAUACCCUGGUAGUCCACACCGUAAACGAUGAAUACUAGGUGUUAGGAGGUUUCCGCCUCUUAGUGCCGAAGCUAACGCAUUAAGUAUUCCGCCUGGGGAGUACGACCGCAAGGUUG
rnacentral:rRNA from 1 species